GGCGCCAGCAGUGGAUUAUGUGGUUUAUUCGAAGCAACGCGAAGAACCUUACCAGGGUCUUGACAUCCUACUAACGANGAUAGAGAUACUGUUAGGUGCCCUUCGGGGAAAGUUAGAGACAGGUGGUGCAUGGUUGUCGUCAGCUCGUGUCGUGAGAUGUUGGGUUAAGUCCCGCAACGAGCGCAACCCNUNNUNUUAGUUGCUACGCAAGAGCACUCUAAUAGGACUGCCGUUGACAAAACGGAGGAAGGUGGGGACGACGUCAAAUCAUCAUGCCCCUUAUGNCCUGGGCUACACACGUACUACAAUGGAUGUNAACAGAGGGAAGCAANACNGCGANGUGGAGCAAACCCCUAAAAACNUUCUCAGUUCAGAUUGCAGGCUGCAACCCGCCUGCAUGAAGAUGGAAUUGCUAGUAAUCGCGGAUCAGCAUGCCGCGGUGAAUACGUUCCCGGGCCUUGUACACACCGCCCGU
rnacentral:rRNA from 1 species